GUUUCUCUGUGUAUACUUGGCUGUCCUGGAACUCCCUCUGUAGACCAGGUUGGCCUUAAACUCAGAGAUUCGCCUGCCUCUGCCUCCUGAGUACUGGGAUUAAAGGUGUACGCCACCA
rnacentral:miRNA from 1 species